CUACUACUCCCUCUGUUCAGAAAUACUUGUCGUAAAAAUGGAUACAAAUGGAUGCACAUAAAACUAAAAUACGUCUAGGUACAUUCAUUACUCCGACAAGUAUUUCCGGACGGAGGGAGUAUCUA
rfam:Triticum aestivum genome assembly, contig: Triticum_aestivum_CS42_TGACv1_scaffold_513216_6BS